CAUUUCGCCUCUUUUCACGACGUAGAAACAACAAUGGCGACACUGGCGACAUCUAGUAAUGAGUUUUGAGUCUUAAGUUAGUUGCACUGUCACAGUUGGUCGCAGACAUGACAGUCGUUCGUUAUCGUUACUUUCAUAAGUUACUUCAAAUUUCGAAACAAAUUGAAACUGUUAAACAACGGAGAUCGGAUAAUGAGUUAACUGUUUUUAAGUAACGAUAACACAAUCUUUAGCAAAUGAUUCGUACUGCAUUCUUGACUAAAUGUUUUCAGAUAAUUUCAGCUGACGUUUUCGUGUGCCUGGACAACUAGGUGUUCGACUGCUCGUGUAAAUAGAAAUAAAAUGGCUAAUCCAGUAAUGCAAGUUUGAAAGCUGUGUCUUCUGAAGCUCAAUGAUCUCUACUGAAAGUUUUUGUAAAUCUUCAAGAUAUUGAUGCCUUUGCCAGAUCCAACUCUUUGCUGCUAUCUAUUUUGCGGACAACAGUAAUCAGCUACUUAAGAUUUUGUGGUGAUCUUGAGUGAUCUCUCCAUUAGUUCUAAUUUAGGACAUGUAUAAGAUUGAUAGAUUUUAGGAUAAUCCCUCUCCUCUGUUAUGGUUGUUUGGAAGAGAGAUUGCUGGAUUUGAAGACUGAUAAUUUGUGUAGAUGUAGAUAAAUUACAAUUGCAUAUCUGGG